rnacentral:rRNA from 1 species
AGUUUUAUCCUGGUUCCGGACGACCGUUCGCGGCGCGUUUAACCCAAGCAAGUGGAAAGGAAAGGCCCCCAGCCUGCUGGGGUAUUGGAGUGGCGAACGGGUGAGUAACACGUGGGCGAUCCGCCUUGCACUUGGGGAUAAUCCUGGGAAAGAGGGUAUAAUACCAGAUAGGACCCUCCUUUAGUGUGGGGGGUGGAAAGAUUUUUAGGCGUGAGAUGAGCGCGCGGCGUAUCAGCUUGUAGGUGGGGUAAUGGCCUACCAAGGCGUCGACGGGUAGCCGGCCUCAGAGGGUGGACGAUCCACACUCGGACUGAGAUACGCCCCUGACUCAUACGUGAGGCAGCAGUCGGGAAUAUUGCACAAUCGGCGGAAGCAUGCUGCAGCGACGCCGCGUGGGGGAUGACGGCAUUCGGUUUGUAAACCUCCUUCGACCGGGACGAAGCAUUGUAGGUGACCGUACCUAUAUAAGAAGCACCGGCUAAGUACGUGCCAGCAGCCGCGGUAAUACGUAGGGUGCGAGCUCUGUCCGGAAUUAGUGGGAGUAAAGAGCUCGUAGGUGGUUUGUUGCUUUGUGUAAGUAAUUCCGGGGAUUAACGUCGGGCGUGCAGGCGAUACGGGCAAUACGUGAGUGAUGUAGGAGAGAAAGGAAUUCGUGGUGUAGCGGAGAAACGGUUAGAUAUCAGGACGAACUCCAAGAGCGAAGGCAUCUUGGCGGAAUGUAACUGACGGUGAUGCUAGAAAGUGUGGGUAUCAAACAGGAAUAGAUACCUGUACUCCACACAGUAAAC